UACAGAGGGGGCAAGCGUUAUUCGGAAUUAUUGGGCGUAAAGAGCGUGUAGGCGGCCAGACAGGUCCGUUGUGAAAACUCGAGGCUCAACCUCGAGAUGUCGAUGGAAACCGUCUGGCUAGAGUCCGGAAGAGGAGUGUGGAAUUCCUGGUGUAGCGGUGAAAUGCGCAGAUAUCGGGAAGAACACCCGUGGCGAAGGCGGCUCUCUGGGACGGUACUGACGCUGAGACGCGAAAGCGUGGGGAGCGAACAGG
rnacentral:rRNA from 1 species